rnacentral:rRNA from 1 species
GAUGAACGCUAGCUACAGGCUUAACACAUGCAAGUCGAGGGGUAACAAGAGAAAAGCUUGCUUUUCUUGUUGACGACCGGCGCACGGGUGAGUAACGCGUAUCCAACCUGCCUAUAACUAGGGAAUAACCUUGCGAAAGUAAGACUAAUACCCUAUGAUUUCCUUUGAUGACAUCAGAUUAGGAAUAAAGAUUUAUCGGUUAUAGAUGGGGAUGCGUCUGAUUAGCUUGUUGGCGGGGUAACGGCCCACCAAGGCAACGAUCAGUAGGGGUUCUGAGAGGAAGGUCCCCCACAUUGGAACUGAGACACGGUCCAAACUCCCACGGGAGGCAGCAGUGAGGAAUAUUGGUCAAUGGGCGGAAGCCUGAACCAGCCAAGUAGCGUGCAGGAUGACGGCCCUAUGGGUUGUAAACUGCUUUUAUACAGGAAUAAAGUUAGCCACGUGUGGUUAUUUGUAGGUACUGUAUGAAUAAGGACCGGCUAAUUCCGUGCCAGCAGCCGCGUAA